UACGGAGGAUGCAAGCGUUAUCCGGAAUGAUUGGGCGUAAAGCGUCCGCAGGUGGCUAUGUAAGUCUGCUGUUAAAGAGUGAGGCUCAACCUCAUAAGAGCAGUGGAAACUACAUGGCUAGAGUGCGUUCGGGGCAGAGGGAAUUCCUGGUGUAGCGGUGAAAUGCGUAGAUAUCAGGAAGAACACCGGUGGCGAAAGCGCUCUGCUAGGCCGCAACUGACAUUGAGGGACGAAAGCUAGGGGAGCGAAUGGG
rnacentral:rRNA from 1 species